UCCCAGACUCCUACGGGAGGCAGCAGUGGGGAAUAUUGCACAAUGGGGGAAACCCUGAUGCAGCAACGCCGCGUGAGUGAUGACGGCCUUCGGGUUGUAAAGCUCUGUCUUCAGGGACGAUAAUGACGGUACCUGAGGAGGAAGCCACGGCUAACUACGUGCCAGCAGCCGCGGUAAUACGUAGGGAGCGAGCGUUGUCCGGAAUUACUGGGUGUAAAGGGAGCGUAGGCGGAAUGCCAAGUCAGCGGUAAAAUCGCGGGGCUCAACCUCGCGCCGCCGUUGAAACUGGCGUUCUUGAGUGGGCGAGAAGUAUGCGGAAUGCGUGGUGUAGCGGUGAAAUGCAUAGAUAUCACGCAGAACUCCGAUUGCGAAGGCAGCAUACCGGCGCCCAACUGACGCUGAAGCACGAAAGCGUGGGUAUCGAACAGGAUUAGAUACCCUAGUAAC
rnacentral:rRNA from 1 species